ACUAACAUUCUAGCAGUGGUCUAAGGCGGUAGAUUUAAGAUUGCUCAAAUCUCUACUGGGGAAACCCGCGUGCGUUCGAACCGCACAGAUAGCA